rnacentral:rRNA from 1 species
GGGUCAGUAGGUUGGUCGUGCCACCGGUACGUACUGGUCUCACUGAUUCCUCCUUCCUGAAGAACCAUAAUGCCAUUAAUUUGGUGUUGCGGGGAAACAGGACUGUUACUUUGAAAAAAUUAGAGUGUUUAAAGCAAGCUAACGCUUGAAUACAUUAGCAUGGAAUAAUGAAAUAGGACGAUCGAUCCUAUUUUGUUGGUUUCUAGGAUUGACGUA